ACGGGUGAGUAACACGUAUCCAACCUGCCGUCUACUCUUGGACAGCCUUCUGAAAGGAAGAUUAAUACAAGAUGGCAUCAUGAGUUCACAUGUUCACAUGAUUAAAGGUAUUCCGGUAGACGAUGGGGAUGCGUUCCAUUAGAUAGUAGGCGGGGUAACGGCCCACCUAGUCUUCGAUGGAUAGGGGUUCUGAGAGGAAGGUCCCCCACAUUGGAACUGAGACACGGCCCAA
rnacentral:rRNA from 1 species